UACGUAGGGUGCGAGCGUUGUCCGGAAUUAUUGGGCGUAAAGAGCUUGUAGGCGGUCUGUCGCGUCUGCUGUGAAAAUCCGGGGCUCAACCCCGGACUUGCAGUGGGUACGGGCAGACUAGAGUGUGGUAGGGGAGACUGGAAUUCCCGGUGUAGCGGUGAAAUGCGCAGAUAUCAGGAAGAACACCCGUGGCGAAGGCGGCUCUCUGGGACGGUACUGACGCUGAGACGCGAAAGCGUGGGGAGCGAACAGG
rnacentral:rRNA from 1 species